rnacentral:rRNA from 1 species
GAUGAACGCUGGCGGCGUGCUUAACACAUGCAAGUCGAACGGUGAAGGCGGAGCUUGCUCUGCUGGAUCAGUGGCGAACGGGUGAGUAACACGUGAGCAAUCUGCCCCUGACUCUGGGAUAAGCGCUGGAAACGGCGUCUAAUACUGGAUACGAGCUGCGAAGGCAUCUUCAGCAGCUGGAAAGAACUUCGGUCAGGGAUGAGCUCGCGGCCUAUCAGCUUGUUGGUGAGGUAACGGCUCACCAAGGCGUCGACGGGUAGCCGGCCUGAGAGGGUGACCGGCCACACUGGGACUGCGACACGGCCCAGACUCCUACGGGAGGCAGCAGUGGGGAAUAUUGCACAAUGGGCGAAAGCCUGAUGCAGCAACGCCGCGUGGGGGACGACGGCCUUCGGGUUGUAAACCUCUUUUAGCAGGGAAGAAGCGAAAGUGACGGUACCUGCAGAAAAAGCGCCGGCUAACUACGUG